UACGGAGGGUGCAAGCGUUAUCCGGAUUCACUGGGUUUAAAGGGUGCGUAGGAGGGCAGGUAAGUCCGUGGUGAAAUCUCUGAGCUUAACUCAGAAACUGCCGUGGAUACUACCGGUCUUGAAUAUCGUGGAGGUGAGCGGAAUAUGUCAUGUAGCAGUGAAAUGCUUAGAUAUGACAUAGAACACCAAUUGCGAAGGCAGCUCACUACCCGAAUAUUGACUCUGAGGCACGAAAGCGUGGGGAUCAAACAGG
rnacentral:rRNA from 1 species